rnacentral:rRNA from 1 species
UACGUAGGUGGCGAGCGUUGUCCGGAUUUACUGGGCGUAAAGAGCUCGUAGGCGGUCUGUCGCGUCGGUCGUGAAAACUUGGGGGCUUAACCCUGAGCUUGCGGUCGAUACGGGCAUGACUGGAGUUCGGUAGGGGAGACUGGAAUUCCUGGGUGUAGCGGUGAAAUGCGCAGAUAUCAGGAGGAACACCGGUGGCGAAGGCGGGUCUCUGGGCCGAUACUGGCGCUGAGGAGCGAAAGCGUGGGGAGCGAACAGG